UACGAAGGGGGGCUAGCGUUGCUCGGAAUCACUGGGCGUAAAGCGCACGUAGGCGGAUUGUUAAGUCAGGGGUGAAAUCCUGGAGCUCAACUCCAGAACUGCCUUUGAUACUGGCGAUCUCGAGUCCGGGAGAGGUGAGUGGAACUGCGAGUGUAGAGGUGAAAUUCGUAGAUAUUCGCAAGAACACCAGUGGCGAAGGCGGCUCACUGGCCCGGUACUCGACGCUGAGGUGCGAAAGCGUGGGGAGCAACAGG
rnacentral:rRNA from 1 species